UACGUAGGGUGCGAGCGUUAAUCGGAAUUACUGGGCGUAAAGCGUGCGCAGGCGGCGCGUUAAGACAGGUGUGAAAGCCCCGAGCUUAACUUGGGAAUUGCGCUUGUGACUGGCGUGCUGGAGUGUGGCAGAGGGAGGUGGAAUUCCACGUGUAGCAGUGAAAUGCGUAGAGAUCCGGAAGAACACCGGUGGCGAAGGCGGCCUGCUGGGCAGUUGCUGACACUGAGGCGCGACAGCGUGGGGAGCAAACAGG
rnacentral:rRNA from 1 species